AGCAGUGGUGGAAUGCAGAGGACA
rnacentral:piRNA from 1 species